CUCCAAUUCUAGAAAUUCUGCCUAGAAUUAAUCUUUAUACAAAAUCCCCUAUAGUUUCUUCAGUGUUGCAUGAUUUGUCUCUAGCUCGAUUUUAAUUUGUUGUACAAGUAGCCCAUCUAAUGAGCCAGUAGGUAAUAAGACAUAGGACAGGAAACUGCCAAACCCAUUGCAGUGUCAGGAUGGGAUAGGUAUACACACAAGGGUUGGAUAAUCACUCGGAGCAUAUUACAAACAGAAUGGAACUUAUGCUUUAUAUAUUGAUUGCAUGUCAACAGUUUUCAAAGACCACACAGUGAUCUCUCAUCAGAAAACAGAUGACAACAGAAGAUUAUGACGGAAAACAGAAACGUAAGGUUAGUGA